rnacentral:misc_RNA from 1 species
UUUUCCGCGAAAUAGGAAUAUCAAAAUAUGAAGUGUGUUAUUCCUGGUGUAAAUAUCAAAGUGUUUGGAAGAGCUAUACAUGCCUUGUCAAAGAUAGGAGAGGAGUUAUACAUUGAACCUCUUGCACAUGGGCUAGCUUUAAGAACCGUCAACUCAUCACGGUCAGCCUACGCCUGCUUCCUGUUCUCACCCACCUUCUUCCAGCAUUAUGACGAUGGCACCCCACCGAUAUCAGACCAGGACAGUGACGAUGCCAUCAGGUGCAAAAUAGCCAUCAAGGUUCUCCCUUCAUACUGAAUUCCCAUUUUGUAAUUACUAAAAAGUUGUUAGUCAUGAGGCACUUGAAUAUAUUAUCAAUAGAUGUUUAUUUAAGUUUUUAUACUUGUUAAAUUAAAUAAAUAUUCCUUAACACCUUUUGGAAAACUUUUUUAAUCAAGCACAGGCUGAUGUAUUCUUUAAACAUAUGUCAUUUCGGCAUGUUCAUAUCACUUCAGUAUUAAUUCAGAAAAGUUGCUAUUUCAGUCAUGUUUGACAGUCUUCAAGUCAAUGUCCAAUGUGGAAAAGACAGUUGAGAAGUGCCAAAUUACUCUAAAUGUACAGAAAGCAAGGCUGGUGUUUAAACUCUACUGUAAACAUGGAAUAGUGAAGACACACAAUUUAGCUUUCAUAGAGUGUGAAACAUUGCAAGCUGUGUUCUCAAAGGACAUGUGUCCAAAUCAACUGACAGCACAACCCAGAUUGUUGUGUGACACAGUAAUUAACUUCCAAUCCAAUCAAGAGGAAGUAUCUCUGAUUGUCUCCCCUGAGAAGAUUACGUUUAAAAAUUAUGUGGAUGAUGAACCAGAUCCAUCAAAAGUGGUACACACCGCACUAAAUCUAGACCCCGAUGAAUUCGAUAACUGUCAGAUUGGAGUGGACACAGAUAUUACCUUUUGUCUGAAGGAAUUCAGAGCUGUCCUGGCAUUUGCAGAAAUCACAGCAAUGCCACUAAACAUCAAGUUUGAAACAUCAGGGAGACCAAUUGUACUGAGUAUAGAUGCAGACAGUGCAUUUGAAGCUAACUUUGUAUUGGCAACAUUAGCAGAAUCUCAUUCACAGACUGGUAACUCAUCCAAUGCCACAACGCAGCAAAGAACCGCCAGCACUGGAUCGAGAUCUUAUGCCAGUAGAGGGAGAUUGAAUAGAGGAAGGUCACAAAACCAGUCCAAUAACUACACAAACUCAAAUCAUAACAGAUUUCCAGAUAGAAAUAAGUCAUCAAAUGAUGCUGAUUUAAUGGAUGAUGACUUUGAUGAUGAGAUACUUGUACCCAACAUCGCUAGAGCUGCAAGUGUUCCAGAAACUAACACCAAACAAUCACACACAGGGAAAGCCUUUCCUCCAUGUAGCAGUAGGUCAUCUCUGAAUACAUCCUCCCAAGAUGAUAGACCCAGUCCUGUCAUACAACCUACUUUACAUCAGAGUGUCUUGGAAGAUGUUCAUGCUGCUGAUGAUGAUGAAGAUGAAGACAUGCCAGUGCCAGGCACACCACCACAGAAAAAGUUCCGCUCCAUGUUUUUUGGCAUGUCACAGGCCAGCAGUGCAGUCUCUCAGGAAACACAGGAUCAAAAUGGGUCCCGUUCUCAUCGUCAAGUGCUGGUAGAAGAUACAGAUGAGGAGGAAGAGGAUUAAUGAACUAUUUUUACAUCAUUAGCUAUAGAAUUGAUGCUGUAGCUAUAUGACUUUUAAGUCAUGUUGUUUUAUUUACCAUAAUAAACAUUGAAACAUGUAUUGUUUAUUAUGUCGGACACAAAAUUCAGUUACCUUUAGUGUACCUGAUAUGGUUAAUUAUAUAAAAUAAAUGUUUUUGUUAUC